rnacentral:rRNA from 1 species
UACGUAGGGUGCAAGCGUUGUCCGGAAUUAUUGGGCGUAAAGAGCUCGUAGGCGGCUUGUCGCGUCGGCUGUGAAAACCUGGGGCUCAACCCCGGGCCUGCAGCCGAUACGGGCAGACUAGAGUGCGGUAGGGGAGACUGGAAUUCCUGGUGUAGCGGUGAAAUGCGCAGAUAUCAGGAGGAACACCGGUGGCGAAGGCGGGUCUCUGGGCCGUAACUGACGCUGAGGAGCGAAAGCGUGGGGAGCGAACAGG